rnacentral:ncRNA from 1 species
ACGGAGCCCGAACCGGCUCCCGGACGAGGCACGCCGUACCCGGUCAGGACAAGACGGUGUCAG